rnacentral:lncRNA from 1 species
CUUAGGAAGAAACUACUGUGCUUGAUGACUCAUUUAUCAGAAUACAACAGUACUACAAUACCUUAUCUUGACAAAUACCUGUGCAGGUUUUACCUGUGCUAUGAAAGAACAUCUUUGACUACUUAAAAAAUCUUAAAUUUGUGUAAAUAGAUUAAAAUCACAACUUAUGAGUGGAAUAUAGAUAUUCUAUGAGAAAGAGAACUGUGAAUAACUUUAAAAAACGGUUCCUAAUAAGGUAUAUGGUCUGAAGGUAUAUAAAUAAGGCACCAAGUUGACCUCUACAGGAUUUCCGAAAAAACUGAAAUAUUUCUAUAUAUUUACGGGCCAAGUGAAAGCUGCUCUGACAGGAGCACACUUUUCGGCCUGAUAUUUCACGAUUGUGGCUGGAAAACUUCGCGAGACUCACGAUAAAUCACGGGCACACGUGUGGAAACUAUUCAACUCACCCAUAAAACAGUCCUUUUCACUAUAUUAUGCCUAAAAAUUAACACACACCUCAAAAAAGCAUACUUUCAGAGUUUCACAAGAUGGCUGGACGAACAGAAUUUUGCGACGUUGCCGGCUCGUUGACUCGUGGCCCGGGACUGAAUCACCGAUACUCGAAAUGUCAAAGUGUGAUACAAAAUAAAAGUGCUUUCGCUGUUUUCGGGCGUGGACUUGUGGUAAAAAAAAAUUACAGUUCUACAUGUUGCAUGUUGCAAGUCGGGUAGCGAUUGUUAAACAAGUAAAUUUUAAUAAUUUUACCAUAAUAAAUAAUUAAAAUGUUAUUAUGUAAUAAGUUAAUGACAAUGUCCCUCUUUCUGACUGACAUAUAAUAUGUCAAGAGAGCAAAAACGAUAUUUUUCCAAAAUGGUUUUUUUGUUCCUGAGAAUAUUUUUAAAUAAAUUUUACUUUAAUGCCUUUGACUGGUGGCACUGUUUGAGCGAUUAAAUAAAUAAUGAGUUGGAUGUAACAGCAGACGAUGAAAAUGAAAUCUUAGAGGAAGCCUCUCAAGACGUAUUUGGGGACGCAAGUACGGAAAUCAACAUUCCCACAGAUACUGGUAGUGCAAAUGCAGCGGAAGAUCCAAGCAAUUAUUCCGCAAAAAAAAACAAUUCAAGUCACCGGCAAAUAAAGAAAAUCUAAAAGAAAAGCAGUGGAUGUAGUACAAGAGCGUAUGAAUGAAGCAUAUAAAAUUUUAAAAACUUCUGUAAGUAGCGAAAAGCCAACAAUCAGCCAAACGUCGCUGUUUUGGCAGUUGGUCGCUCAGAAGUUAGAAGCGUUGGAUGAAGUUGAAAGAGCGAUAGCUAUGAAUGAGAUUGAUAAUUUGCUAUUUCGUGCUACUAUGAGACAUAUGGAUCAGCGAUCUCACAAUUUAUCUCGUUGUAAUAAUACAACUCCUGAACAGUAUCCUUCCUAUGGCAAUCAACAGCAUGCGUACCCUUUUUCGGCAGUAAACCAUUCAUCACCUGCAAAUUCCUAUACCUCUCAGCCAUCUCCAGGGCAGAACAUCUUGCAACCAAGCCCUAAUCAGUACGAAAAUCAGUAUCAAGCUGCAUCACCAUCAAUUACAACCAUGGAGCCUGCUAAAUCUCAGAAUGGACAACCUAAUACCUUUAUUCCCGUACCGCCAUUUUCACCUUUAUAGUUGGGUAGUCAGUUACUUUUUAUGUUUAGGUUUUGAUAUUAUUCAGAAAAAAAAUAUUGAUUUAUGUUAAAUUUAAUUCGGGGAUAUAGGAGAAUAUACAUUAUGCAAAAAUGUGAAUAACAACAACACAUUUACCAUUAAACUUUUAGUAUACAUAUAGAGAAAACUCAUGCUAUUUAAGCAGUUAUAAAAUUUUCAAUGAUGUAAUUUUCUA